UACGUAGGGGCUAGCGUUGUCCGGAUUUAUUGGGCGUAAAGAGCGUGUAGGCGGCCAGGUAGGUCUGCUGUGAAACUCGAGGCUCAACCUCGAGACGUCGGCGGAAACCAUCUGGCUAGAGUCCGGAAGAGGAGAGUGGAAGUUCCCGGUGUAGCGGUGAAAUGCGCAGAUAUCGGGAAGAACACCCGUGGCGAAGGCGGCUCUCUGGGACGGUACUGACGCUGAGACGCGAAAGCGUGGG
rnacentral:rRNA from 1 species